rnacentral:rRNA from 1 species
GACAGAGGAUGCAAGCGUUAUCCGGAAUGAUUGGGCGUAAAGCGUCUGUAGGUGGCUUUUCAAGUCCGCCGUCAAAUCCCAGGGCUCAACCCUGGACAGGUGGUGGAAACUACCAAGCUAGAGUACGGUAGGGGCAGAGGGAAUUUCCGGUGGAGCGAUGAAAUGCGUAGAGAUCGGAAGGAACACCCAAGGCGAAAGCACUCUGCUGGGCCGACACUGACACUGAGAGACGAAAGCUAGGGGAGCAAAUGGG